rnacentral:misc_RNA from 1 species
AGACAUUUGGUGUGAAUUUGCAGCGCCAUCUGCUAUCAAUGGCUUGGCAAUUAGGGGAAACUUCAAACCCUCACGAGUCAUAGUGUCCUGCAGAGAUUCCGAUGCAUCUUCCGAUAUGAAAACCUGCAAAGGAGUUUCGAGAUUCUCGAUUUUCAAUUCGUUGACGAAUUGGAGCAUAGAGACUCGAUUCUGGAGCUUCUCGACGGCAUUUACA